AAGGAUCCAGAGUUGCCAUGAGCUGUGGUGUAGGUCGCAGAUGAAGUUUGGAUUGUUGUUGUGACUGUGGCGGAGGUUGGCAGCUGCAGCUCCGAUUUGACCCCUAGCCUGGGAACUUCCAUAUGCCUCAGGUGCAGCCCUAAAAAAAUUUUUUUAAAUUCUUUAUCGAUCUAAAAAACACAGAUAUCAGGAGUUCCUUUGUGAUGCAGUGGGUUAAGGAUCUGGUGUUUUCACCACUGUGGCUCAGAUUGCUGCCAUGGUACAGGUUUGAUCCCUGGCUCAGAAACUUCGCAUGCCGCAGGGAUGACAAAAAAAAAAAAAAAAAAAAAAGAAAAAGAAAAAAAACUUCAGAUAUACAGAUAUAUUUGUCAGUUCUCAAAGCUUUUUGUGCAUAAGUUGAAUCCUCUUAAGAUCUCAUUAAACUUUUAUUAAAUUCUCUUCUGCUUUUUAUUAAUUAUCUCUCUGUAAGAGCCAUCCUACUUAGAUCGUUCAUCUUUAUAAACAGCUUGAGGUCUUACUCUUAGACUAUUAAGGUCAAAAGCUUUCUCAGUUUACCCAAAGUUAAGGCCGGGUAGUGCUACAUCAACAGAUGACAAGAGAUAUGGUGAGAGUUUAUCCUCCAGGGGGCAAGUAGUCAACGGUUUGGCAAAUUGGGACUCUUAUGCAAGUCUAGGUGCGGAGAGACUCGUGAGAGGUUAUAUCAAUUUGAUAACAUUGGCAGGAACAGCUGGCCCCUCCCAGAGCUGCACACAGAUGUUCCUCUCCCUGUUGUGAGGGAACCCUCGAGAGCAAACUCAACUCCACCUACCCUCAUCCAUCAACCACCCCCCCACCCCAAGGAACCUCGGAGUCUUCUUUGUUCCAUAUUGCCUCAGAGACUCAGGUCUGUAAAGUUCAGGGUUCUAGGUCAACUAACCUGUCAGCAAUAACCAUUGAGUUUCUACAACUGAAUAAUCUUCUGCAGUGACUCUAUAUCUCUGAUGUCAUCAUAGGUCUUAUCUAGGUUCCAGCAUGUUGUUGCAGCUCCUUUUAGUUGUUCAGCUGGCCUUGCAAAGUCAUCAGGAAGAGAGAACCAAGGGUCUGACCUCAGGAUCCCCUUUUCCGAGACGAUCCCUCUCCUCCACCUCCAUCCCCAGCAGCUGCCUCACUGAAGAGGGAGAUGGGAGAGUGAGGUUGUACAUCUAAUGCCCUGCACUUUCUCUUUCAUUUGCCCACCGACGCCACUGCCUUAUACUCUCAUGGUCCCAGUUCUCCGUUAUCAGGAGUGACAUGGUUCUUUAGAUUUAUUCUUUUUUUUUUUCUUCUUUUUAAGGCUCCUGGGAACCUCCAUGUGCCGCAGGAGUGGCCCUAGAAAAGUCAAAAAGACAAAAAAAAAAAAAGCCUUCGUAGACUGUGAAGCAGGUAAAAUUAGGACCAUCUUUGUCCAUGGUAUUUCUCCAAAUGUUUCGACUUAUCCUUGGACUUUGAGUAUUGCAACUCCAAGGCCAAAAUAUGAUUCCUUUGUCUUGUUUUCUUUACAGUCUCUUUCCUGAGAGAGUGAGUGCUACAUGUCUCAUGGCCCUAAUAGUUUGGGUAAUAGAGUGGCCAUAAAUAUGAAAACAUCUGUUAAUAUCUCAAAAUGUGAUUGCAUCACACUUUGGACUCCCUCCCUAAUCUGUGACUUGCUCAAAGGGCAGAACUGUAUCACUAGCCCAAGCAGAACGCUGGCCAUAUAUUCCUUAUGUGGGAUAUGAAUAGGUUGAUGCAUCCAAAGAGAACACACAUGACUUUGUUCAUUAACUUACUAGUGCAACAAAUGGUUCUGAGAUUCUCUUCUAUUCCUGACCCUAGGCUAAGCACUGUAGAUAAAUGUGGUAAAUCAUUCAGGAACAAUCCUUGGCCUCUAAGAACUUAUAGGCAAGUAAAUUCCAGAUGGUUUAACAUCACAAUAUGUCAAAGAUAUAAAAUAUUCAUGGAGUAAAUUUAAAAUAAUUGGAGACUAUUUAUAAGCCUAGGGGUAGGAGAGACCUGCUUAAGCAAGAGUGAAAAUCCAGAAACCAUGGAGAAAAAAUAUAAAUGUAUUUGAUUGCAUAGAUAUUUGAAAUUAUACUCAUGAAGAAAUUUACCAUGAAUAAAGUAAUUAAACACUUUUAAACUGGGGAAAAAUAUUUGUUGUACACUUGAUAAAUGAUUAAGAAUCCCAAUAGGCAAAGGGUUUCUACAAAUUGCUACAAAAGAGGUAAAGAAUCCAGUGGAAAAAGUAGGCCCAGGAUAUGAACAGUCAAUCCACAGAAGAGAAUUUAUAUUGCCAAUAAACAUAUAAAUAGAUUCUCAAAUAAUCAGGGAAAUGUAAAUUAAUAAAAUGAUGAAAUGCCAUUUUCCUCAUUAGGUAAAAAAAUACAAAGGUGUCAUCAAUCCCGAAAAGGAUGUAGGGCGCAGACAGUCUCAUAUACUGCUGCUGGAAGUAUUAAUUGCUACUCUUUAUGGGAAAGUAAUCUGGAAAUAUCCCUUUAAAAUUUAGGAUGUGCAUAUUCUUUGAUUUUCUGGGAAUAUAAUUUAUAAAAAGUCCUAGCACAUGCAAGGAUGUUUACAUCAGCCAAAAAAUAAUAUCCCCUAUAAGCACCCUGAAUGUCCAUCCAUAGAAAAAUGGUUGAAUACGUUAUAGUAGAUUUUUGCUAUGGUAUAAUAUAUCUAAUAAGAGGAAUGCAUUGUGAGCCAAGACAUGGAAACAACCUAAAUGUCCAUCAACGGAGGAGUGGAUCAAGAAGAUGUGGUUGGAGUUCCCAUCGUGGCGCAAUGGUUAACGAAUCUGACUAGGAACCAUGAGGUUGCGGGUUUGGUCCCUGCCCUUGCUCAGUGGGUUAACGAUCCGGCGUUGCCGUGAGCUGUGGUGUAGGUUGCAGACGCUGCUCAGAUCCAGCGUUUCUGUGGCUCUGGCAUAGGCCAGUGGCUGCAGCUCUGAUUCAACCCCUAGCCUGGGAACCUCCAUAUGCCAUGGGAGCGGCCCAAG
rnacentral:lncRNA from 1 species